CCCCCACAUUGGAACUGAGACACGGUCCAAACUCCUACGGGAGGCAGCAGUGAGGAAUAUUGGUCAAUGGACGAGAGUCUGAACCAGCCAAGUAGCGUGCAGGACGACGGCCCUAUGGGUUGUAAACUGCUUUUAUAGGGGAAUAAAGUGAUCCACGUGUGGAUUAUUGUAUGUACCCUAUGAAUAAGGACCGGCUAAUUCCGUGCCAGCAGCCGCGGUAAUACGGAAGGUUCGGGCGUUAUCCGGAUUUAUUGGGUUUAAAGGGAGCGUAGGCCGUAGAUUAAGCGUGUUGUGAAAUGUAGAUGCUCAACAUCUGACUUGCAGCGCGAACUGGUUUACUUGAGUGUGCACAACGUAGGCGGAAUUCGUCGUGUAGCGGUGAAAUGCUUAGAUAUGACGAAGAACUCCGAUUGCGAAGGCAGCUUACGGGAGCACAACUGACGCUGAAGCUCGAAGGUGCGGGUAUCAAACAGGAUUAGAUACCCUGGUAGUCCGCACAGUAAACGCUGGAUGCCCGCUGUUGGUUCAUUAGAGUCAGCGGCCAAGCGAAAGCAUUAAGCAUCCCACCUGGGGAGUACGCCGGCAACGGUGAAACUCAAAGGAAUUGACGGGGGCCCGCACAAGCGGAGGAACAUGUGGUUUAAUUCGAUGAUACGCGAGGAACCUUACCCGGGCUUGAAUUGCAGACGAACGCGGUAGAGAUGCCAAGGCCCUUCGGGGCGUCUGUGAAGGUGCUGCAUGGUUGUCGUCAGCUCGUGCCGUGAGGUGUCGGCUUAAGUGCCAUAACGAGCGCAACCCCUUUUCUUAGUUGCCAUCAGGUUAUGCUGGGCACUCUGGGAAUACUGCCACCGUAAGGUGUGAGGAAGGUGGGGAUGACGUCAGAUCAGCACGGCCCUUACGUCCGGGGCUACACACGUGUUACAAUGGCCGGUACAGAGGGCAGGUUGCAUGUAAAUGCGAUCGAAUCUUAAAAGCCGGUCCCAGUUCGGACUGAGGUCUGCAACCCGACCUCACGAAGCUGGAUUCGCUAGUAAUCGCGCAUCAGCCAUGGCGCGGUGAAUACGUUCCCGGGCCUUGUACACACCGCCCGUCAAGCCAUGAAAGCCGGGGGUGCCUAAAGUCCGUUACCGCAAGGAUCGGCCUAGGGCAAAACUGGUAAUUGGGGCUAAGUCGUAACAAGG
rnacentral:rRNA from 1 species